rnacentral:rRNA from 1 species
GACGAACGCUGGCGGCGUGCCUAGCACAUGCAAGUCGAACGGGGCAGAGAGCUUCGGCUUUCUGCUUAGCGGCGAACGGGUGAGUAACGCGUGAAGAACCUGCCUUUCAGUGGGGGACGAACAGUUGGAAACGACUGCUAAUACCGCAUGACACUGAUGAGGGGCGAUCCCUUAUCAGUCAAAGCUUUAAGUGCUGAAAGAUGGCUUCGCGUCUGAUUAGCUAGAUGGCGGGGUAACGGCCCACCAUGGCGACGAUCAGUAGCCGGUCUGAGAGGAUGAACGGCCACAUUGGGACUGAGAUACGGCCCAG